rnacentral:tRNA from 1 species
GCGGACGUGGUGGAAUGGCAGACACGCUGUCUUCAGGUGGCAGUGGGGCAACCCGUGCGGGUUCGAGUCCCGCUUUCGGCACCA